rnacentral:rRNA from 1 species
ACUUUCAACAACGGAUCUCUUGGCUCUUGCAUCGAUGAAGAACGCAGCGAAAUGCGAUAAGUAAUGUGAAUUGCAGAAUUCCGUGAAUCAUUAAAUCUUGAACGCAAAUUGCACUUCUUGGUAUUCCGAGGAGUAUGCUUGCUUGAGGGUUG